CGGCGACCGGCGAAUGGGUGAGUAACACGUAUGCAACUUACCUCUUAGUGGUGAAUAACUCGAUGAAAGUCGGACUAAUACACCAUACUCUCCUUAGAUCACAUGAGAAGAGGAGGAAAGAUUAAUCGCUAAGAGAUAGGCCUGCGUUCCAUUAGCUAGUUGGUAAGGUAACGGCUUACCAAGGCAACGAUGGAUAGGGGGACUGAGAGGUUGACCCCCCACAUUGACACUGAGAUACGGGUCAAACUCC
rnacentral:rRNA from 1 species